rnacentral:rRNA from 1 species
CAGUCGCCACGGUAAUACGGAGGGUCCGAGCGUUAAUCGGAAUUACUGGGCGUAAAGCGUGCGCAGGCGGUUUGUUAAGCGAGAUGUGAAAGCCCUGGGCUCAACCUAGGAAUAGCAUUUCGAACUGGCGAACUAGAGUCUUGUAGAGGGGGGUAGAAUUCCAGGUGUAGCGGUGAAAUGCGUAGAGAUCUGGAGGAAUACCGGUGGCGAAGGCGGCCCCCUGGACAAAGACUGACGCUCAUGCACGAAAGCGUGGGGAGCAAACAGGAUUAGAUACCCGCGUAGUCCCUGUCUCUUAUAC